rnacentral:rRNA from 1 species
UACAUGGGGUGCAAACGUUGCUCGGAAUCAUUGGGCGUAAAGCGCGCGUAGGCGGUUACUUAAGUUGGAUGUGAAAGCCCUCGGCUUAACCGAGGAAGUGCAUCCAAAACUGAGUAGCUAGAGUACGAAAGAGGGUCGCGGAAUUCCCGGUGUAGAGGUGAAAUUCGUAGAUAUCGGGAGGAACACCGGUGGCGAAGGCAGCUCGCUGGGACGGUACUGACGCU